AUCGUCAUUAGUUUGUGUAUCUUGUAAACAAAUGUUCAAGGACGGGUAUGUAUUUAUAAGUUCUCACUGUUGUUAUAUAUGCAGCCUUAAAGGUAUAGAGAGAUUUAAAGGUAUGUUGUUUUUCGAUCAAAGUUUAAAGACGAAAGUCUAUAUUUACAAAUUAUAUUUUUUAUGUGGGAUAAGUUUUAUUGCCUUUUCUUUUUUUGCAAUAUUUCAAUUCAUGAUUAUUCACAAUUUCUGGAUAGCUCACCAAAUUAUAUCAAUAUAAUGGAUAUUUAAAUAAAUUUCAGACAUGUCAAAGAUUUUCGUCGGGAAUAUGACAUUUGUUUUCCAUUUGAUCGGUAACUAUGGAAUUCCCUUAUUUUUUUUUAAUAUUCCUGGAAAAAUUGGGUAUUUUUGUUAUACUUUUUUUUUAUCUUAAUAUUAUGUAAAACAAAAUUGAUGAACAAUCACAUGUUAUGGUACGAAAUGUACUGCCUCUGAUGCUCUCUUCAUUAGAGUCAAUAAUUAGUUUGUAUCCGUGAUCCGUGUUCCGUGAUAAGAUAAACAUGAAGGUUAUAGUAGUUCAUCAUGUUUAUCGAUGUUCAAAUCUCGUUAAUCAUGUUUAUCGAUGUUCAAAUCUCGUUAAUCAUGUUUAUCGAUGUUCAAAUCUCGUUAGUCAUGUUUAUCGAUGUUCAAAUCUCGUUAAUCAUGUUUAUCGAUGUUCAAAUCUCGCUAAUCAUGUUAAUCGAUAUAGAACAAUCAGGAUUUCAAACAGUGCUUUGGUUUUGAUUAUCUUUAAUUUAUCAUGAGGGUCUAAAUAGGAUGUACGUCAAAGAACAUGAUGGACAAAACAUAAAGAAAAGAGAAUAAUGGAUUUCUUAAAAGAGAAUAAAAUUGUUUAAAAAAAAUAUAGAAACGAAGACAUCGCAUACAGAUCCAUUUGUAUGUAGUUUGCUUCACAAUCUCUUAAUAUCAAUCGUACCUGAUUGUGAUUCCAAAAAUAUACACGCUUCCUAGACACUCAAAUCAGAACAUAUAAUAUCAUUAAAGAUAACUGUUAUCUGCAGUUUAAGUGGUAAUUAUAUUUAUGAAAUUUGUAUUUGACGUUCCUGUUUAUCCGCUCGCACAUAUUUAGGCGUUAGAGCAAAAAAAAAACUUUGACAUAUGACUGAAUACAGAAGGUAUGAAUCGACAAGUUUCAGAAUUGCUACUCUAUGUUGUCGGUCUGUAAUUAUUGAUGCAUAAUGUUGUCCAUUGCCAAUUAAUGUUGGUGCUGUUCGAAUAAAAUGCAACUUUCUAUUUAUGUUUAUAAUUGCAGGUUAUGGCUCAUAAAAGUAUUAUUACUGGCUAUUGCAACCAACCUCAAAGUGAUAAAUCCACACACGAUGAUAAACAAUCCAUAACUGGGUGCCAAGUUUGCAAUACAGGUUUAAAUGAAGAAUGUAAAGAGCGACAUGAUGUCUCGACAGAAACAGAAAAUCAUGUCACUUCAUUAAAUACUGAAGAAUCGGAACUGUCUAGAAUUUUUUUUAUAAUAAAACACUCACCUUAGAACGCAAGAUGUACACAAUGUUGGCAAAUGUCAAUGGUUGUUCCAUGCUUCCUGAUGGUAGAAUGGUGUUCAUGUGUUCGCAUUGGGGUAAAAUUAAAGUCUUUAGAAUAGAUGGAUCUGAAGAUUUCGAAAUGAAGAAUAUUGGUCCCCUGUAUGAUGUGGUUUCUAUAGGGAAUGAUACCCUUGUGAUCACGUCAGGUGAUGAAAGCUAUUCAAGACAGAUAUAUCUAAUUGAUAUCAAGAAUAAGAAAGUGAAGAAAAAAAUUAAUGUGAAAUCACACAGCUUUGGAGCGGCUUUGUUCAAUGACAAUUGUUUAUAGUCCAGUCGAAAUGUGAAACAAUUGCUCCGAUUGUGGUAAAAGCAUCAAACUUUGCAGAGUGUUAGUUGAGGUCAUAACUAACAUUUAUAGCUAUGGACCCAAUUCAGAAAAUCAAAAUGGCGGUUCUGGGCGGCCAUUUUGAAAUCAUGUCCAAAAAA
rnacentral:lncRNA from 1 species